ACAAAAGGCCAUACCACCCUGAACGCGUCCGAUCUCGUUUCAUCUCUGAAGGUAAGCAGGGAUGGGCCUGGUUAGUACUUGGAUGAGAGACCAUUUCUUAUUUAAACCUAGAGGGAGAUAAAGUCAUUCAGUC
ensembl:rRNA 5S_rRNA 5S ribosomal RNA